rnacentral:rRNA from 1 species
CAGCCGCCACGGUAAUACGGAGGGUGCAAGCGUUACUCGGAAUUACUGGGCGUAAAGCGUGCGUAGGUGGUGGUUUAAGUCCGUUGUGAAAGCCCUGGGCUCAACCUGGGAAUUGCAGUGGAUACUGGGUCACUAGAGUGUGGUAGAGGAUAGUGGAAUUUCCGGUGUAGCAGUGAAAUGCGUAGAGAUCGGAAGGAACAUCUGUGGCGAAGGCGACUAUCUGGGCCAACACUGACACUGAGGCACGAAAGCGUGGGGAGCAAACAGGAUUAGAUACCCCAGUAGUCCCUGUCUCUUAUAC